AUUGAACGAUGGCGGCAGGCUUAACACAUGCAAGUCGAGCGAGAGGCGGCCGGGUGAGUAAUGUCUGGGAAACUGCCUGAUGGAGGGGGCUAACUACUGGAAACGGUAGCUAAUACCGCAUACCAUCAGAUGUGCCCAGAUGGGAUUAGCUAGUAGGUGGGGUAAUGGCUCACCUAGGCGACGAUCCCUAGCUGGUCUGAGAGGAGGACCAGCCACACUGGAACGGAGACACGGGCCAGACUCCUACGGGAGGCAGCAGUGGGGAAUAUUGCACAAUGGGCGCAAGCCUGAUGCAGCGAUGCCGCGUAGGUGAAGAAGGCCUUCGGGUUGGAAAGCACUUUCAGCGAGGAGGCGUUACUCUCAGAAGAAGCACCGGCUAACUCCGUGCCAGCAGCCGCGGUAAUUC
rnacentral:rRNA from 1 species